rnacentral:rRNA from 1 species
AACGAACGCUGGCGGCAGGCCUAACACAUGCAAGUCGAGCGGAAACGAUCCUAGCUUGCUAGGAGGCGUCGAGCGGCGGACGGGUGAGUAACGCGUGAGAAUCUACCCAUGAGUGGGGGACAACCCGGGGAAACUCGGGCUAAUACCGCAUACGCCCUACGGGGUAAAGCAGGGGACCUUCGGGCCUUGCGCUGAUGGAUGAGCUCGCGUCGGAUUAGCUUGUUGGUGAGGUAAAGGCUCACCAAGGCGACGAUCCGUAGCUGGUCUGAGAGGAUGAUCAGCCACACCGGGACUGAGACACGGCCCGGACUCCUACGGGAGGCAGCAGUGGGGAAUCUUGGACAAUGGGGGCGACCCUGAUCCAGCCAUGCCGCGUGUGUGAAGAAGGCCUUCGGGUUGUAAAGCACUUUCAGCAGGGAGGAAGGCUUACCCCUAAUACGGGUGAGUACUUGACGUUACCUGCAGAAGAAGCACCGGCUAAUUUCGUG